rnacentral:tRNA from 1 species
GCCUGGGUGGCUUAGUUGGUUAAGUGUCUGACUUUGGCUCAGGUCAUGAUCUCAGUUUGUGAGUUCAAGCCCCACGUUGGGCU